CACGUAGGGCGCAAGCGUUGUCCGGAAUUACUGGGCGUAAAGGGCUCGUAGGCGGCCAACUAAGUCGGAUGUGAAAUCCCCAGGCUUAACCUGGGAACUGCAUCCGAUACUGGAUGGCUUGAAUCCGGGAGAGGGAUGCAGAAUUCCAGGUGUAGCGGUGAAAUGCGUAGAUAUCUGGAGGAAUACCGGUGGCGAAGGCGGCAUCCUGGACCGGCAUUGACGCUGAGUGAGCGAAAGCCAGGGGAGCAAACGGG
rnacentral:rRNA from 1 species